AUCCUCCGAGUCUACCAGCACUCUAAUGAAGUUCAGGUAUUCAGGGAUUAGCUCCUCACAGUUAUCCGUGAUGAAAACUCUGCAUACAUACAAUUUGAUAUUGUUCUUUUUCUUUCUGUUUUCAAACAGGUCAAAAGGAGCACAUCAUGGGAAAAUAGAAGGGCUCUGUAUUCCAACUGUCCUUCAACUGAAAAAUGCUUCACUGACAAGUGAUCUUCCCAGUCAUUAGUCAAGCUCUUGUAGAAUUCUCUGUACUCCUCAUUAGUAAUAUCAUCUGGAUUUCUGGUCCAGAUGGGCUUUGUUUUGUUGAGUUCUUCUUGAUCAAUGUACUUUUCCUAAUCUUCUUCUUCUUCUGCUUGUCACCAUCCUUCUUUUCUUCUUCUUCCUCAGCAGAACCAACAUCUUCAAUUUCAGGUUUGUCUUCGGAUUCUUUCUCUUUUUUUGAUGUUUAGAAAAUUAUUUGUUACAUCUUGUAGGACCUACUUUUUGAACUUUUCAUCCCCUGUAGUUGCCAAUUCUGCAUGUACUAGUCCUCUAGAAAUAGGUUAAACUGAAGCAACUUGAUGGAAGGAAUUCUCCACAGGGCUUGUUUUCCAAAGAAAAGUAUUAUUUGGAGGAGAAAAGUUAUAAGCCUACCUAAGCAUAUCAUAAAGCUGUUCAAAAAUAACUCAGACCCAGUCUUGUGGAUGGAAAUGUAGUGCUUGAGUCACAUUCUGCUUAAAGUUGUAACAGAUACAGAUGAGUUAAAAGAAAAAAAAAUCCAUCAGUCUUCUUUGGUCCUGGCUGGUGUGCAUCCCGUUUCAAUCUGGCUAUUUUAUUCUUU
rnacentral:lncRNA from 1 species